AUAGGAUCUCACUCCUCAAAUUCACAACACUCAAAGAAAAGAAACGAUGGGUAGAAGCUUUCAAAUUUUUGUCAUUCUUGUGAUGGUUGUUUUCAUCUUUAAAGGAAAUGAAGUGUUUGCAGCAACUAGACGCGUCUGUGCAAAGCAAUAUCCUCUUCGUAAUUGCACCGAUAAAUCAUGUAAUGAUUUGUGCGAGAAGAAUCAUGGCAAUUCUCGUGGGUUUUGCGCAUAUAAUGGUCCAUUAUACUGUGGCUGUUUAUAUCCCUGUGGAAAUGAGGAAAAUUUAAAAUAUUAAGUUCGAAGGGGCUAAAGUCUAAAUAAAAAGUUUUGAGAGGAUAUAUUUGUAUAACAAUAAUUUACAAUUUCAAUCCACCCUCAAAACUCUUUCCA